CGCGGUCCUCGGUAGUGGUCUCCGGGAAACCAUCGUGUGAUGGAUUUCCCGUGGACCUCGAUCGAAGACCGGG
rfam:Arthrobacter sp. Soil782 contig_4, whole genome shotgun sequence.